rnacentral:lncRNA from 1 species
UCACAGAAUCCAAGGACAGUUGUUCUAGUUUAGUUUGGGCCUUUAAAUAAUAGUGCCUGGUGGCAUCUCCUGAAGCUGGCCUUUCCUUUUCUCCUCCCGCCACCUCUCCCCUCAGCUUCAUCUCUGUCAGCCAGCCCCACUCUCUUCGCUGUGCCGGGUUACCCCUCAUCACAGUCUUCGUAGGAGUCUCUGCUGCUCUUUGGAUUCCUUUACCAAUGGGAGGAGGCCGACAAAGAUCACCAAGACGAUAAUCAAGAUGAUCUGGUCACCGCACUGAGUUCGGAUCUGAUCCCUGUCAUUAGAUGCAUGUCCAGUCACCUGGAGGAGGCGACCCUCUUGGAGCCUUACGAGCAUCUCUUACUGCUUUCAAAACAAGCUCCUAACCGUCUCUCGGAACACCUCUCCUCCAGGCUUCUUAGCUUCCUGACAGGAUCUGGGGUGUGAGUGAAGGGGAGACUCCACUCUGUCUUUAUCUUUCAUUUCACAGUCCAGUCAGUCAGUUAGCUUCAGGUCCUAUGCACAAACUUGAACCAGCUGUGAGUAGUUCCAGGAUUACUUCCAGGCAGAGCCACCUGAACCUGUGCUGGGUGGCACAACAUGCCCAUAGGGACAAAGACAAACCCUAUGACUUCACACACCAGCCUGCAUUUAGCCAGGUUCUUCAGGCUCCUGACAUCACCAGCUAGCAUGACACACUGCAGAAAUUACUGUAUGGUACUUGGGUGCUGAUCUUCAUCUUGGUUUUCUCUUUUAAGAAACUAAAAAUGUCCCUGGAGAGGUAGCUCAGCGAUGGUUAUGAGAGCAUGCUGCUUUUGCAGGGAACCCAAGUUCGGUUCCCAGCUCCUACACUGGGUGACUUGCAACUUUCUGUAAUUCCAGCUCCAGAGCCUCUGACACCCUCUUCUGUGAGCCCAUCGUUCUCUCUCUCUCUCUCUCUCUCUCUCUCUCUCUCUCUCUCUCUCUCUCUCUCUCUUUCUCUCUCUCUCGUGUGUGUGUGUGUGUGUGUGUGUGUGUGUGUGUGUGUGUGUGUGUGUGUAAUUUU